AUUCACCUCAAUCUCUUACUGGUUUACUGUUUUUCGGAACCAGUUGCAGACUAAGGACGAAAAUGUCCUCUACUCCAGGAGGUCUCACUCCAGAGGACAAGAAGCACUAUACGUCGUUUACCCCUGACUAUACCAAAUGGCCCGACAAGGUUUUAGGCCCUUUAAAUUAUGAUACUCCACUGCGUCUGCUGCUUAAAGAUGCGAAAUCCAACUUUAAUGAGCCAUCUGGAAAUAAUGCUGAGAAAAAAAUAAAGGGAUUGACGAUUGUAGCAGCCAUGGGUGGAGGAUUUGUUGGAGUGUUUGAAGCUUUUGUUAAAGUUGCACCAAGUAUAUUCGCUGUUGGAGGAUAUUUCAGCAGAGCAGUAGUUACUUUAGGUACUGUUAACAUUGUUCACUGUUAGGGAUAUUUCAGCAGAGCAGUAGUUACUUUAGGGGCCUCAGGAUUUAUGUAUAGUGUUGGAACACAAGGAACUGCAGUAUUAAGGGGAAAGGAUGAUUUAUUUAAUUAUGCAGUUGGUGGAGCUUUAGCAGGAAUACCAAUGGCAAAAAGAUAUGGAAAUGUAUGGGCUGGUCUAGGUUAUGCGCUAGGAUUUACAACAUUGGGAAUCUUUACCAGGACCUUACUAGUUCGCCCAAAUGGGGAAUUUACCACUAAGAUGCCUCAAGAAUUUGGAAGUCUAUAUAGACGAAGUUAUGGAUAUAAUUUUUACCAUUAUAAUUCUUUUGGUCGUGAUAAGGGUACUUGAGACUGUUGCAUUUUUAUUUAUUUUUCUAAAUAGUAUUACAAGUGUCACUUGAUGAAAUUAAAAGAUUAACCAACUUGA